rnacentral:lncRNA from 1 species
UGAAAGCACAUACACUCUCAACCUAUCGAGACUUAAAUAAAAAAAAUGAGAAAUGCUAAAAUAAGUAAAAGCACAAUUGACUAAACAAUAUCAGCCAACUUUGAAAAUUCAACAAGGAAUUUUAUGACGUGUUGAUUAAAAUUUGCAAAGGCCAUCACAUUAAAGCUCAUAGAUAAGAAAUAACCAGUACCAAGGCUAAGUAUCAAAUAAGUUCAUGUCAGAUUUUCAUAUUAGACAAGGACAAGAAAAUUAUUUUCUGGAAAGUAAACGUGAACUUUAGGUAAAUCGAUGCAUUGCAAUAGAUGAGAUGCGAACAUAAUAUCAUGAAUAGGAACCAAUGAGAUAUAGACAUCACUCAAACUACUCGCGAAAACAGGGGUGAAUCAUACAAGAUUAGGCUAAACUUUAUUGGAAAGCUACAAUCAUGAAGCGACACAAUUAGAAGGGACAUCCGGGAACACAAAGAAACAGUAAAGAGGAUGGAACAGCACAGCCGACACAAACGGAUAUUCCUCAACUUGAACUAACUAGCUUAUCUACAUGGAAUAUACGGCCGAUUCUAUUAAAUAAAGAAAAUUAAUGAUGCACUAAGCAACAGAUAAAUCACAACUUUUAAUUUGCAAAUAAUAAAUGUAGAAAACAACCUAUAUAUUAGGUCAUGUAAGUCGAAAUCACCUGUAGAAGAUGAUUUCGAGUUUCACGACUGAACCACAACUUUCACAGCUCACUAGCCGAGAUAAGAGCGAAAUAAAAGAUUCCAACAAUGAGAACAAGAACUCGGGAGGGGGGAAACAUCAGACUUCAACGAAAAUGAAAACAAACAACAACUAUGGACUUUCAAACAAAUCCUAUCACUGAUUUGCAACCAACAGUAGUGUAUCAAAGACAUUCCAAAUCCUAGCAUGUAAGGAGCUCACACAUUCGAAAGUCAACUAACAACACAUUACGAGCAAAACGUAGAAACGAAGUGAGUGUUACCUUUAAAGGUGCAGCAAAACCGAGACAGAUCGAGCUAGAAUGGGCAGCGACCUCUUACACCACUUCAAAACUCGAGCAAAUAACCGGAAUAUCCGAACUGACUUCGAACAAAGACUCUUUCAAAACCAAAAACUAAAACUGCAUUACGAAUUUCUCAAGUGUAAAAAUCAAUUGCUCAAGAAAACUCCCCACUCUUUCUCCAACCCUUUACAGUGAAUAAGGGUAGAAUAUAUAUAGGCAAAAUUAGGGUUCGGAUUUGGGGGGAAAACGGAUAGAAUUCGAAUAGGAAUGAGACCCACCCCAAAUUCAAACUUCAAAAUCUUUCACCAUUAAAGAAAGACAUACUUUUUCCUGCAAAUUCAACCCAUUCCGAAAGAGGAAAGGGCGAGAUGGGCGCCCGGGAUCGAUUCAUUCGUCCUUGGGCGCGACGUGGAGUAAUCUCAUGGCUACAAGGACUGAGACGUGGCUUGGUGCUCUGCUGCAGGUACAAAUUGGAAAGGGACAUUGAGGAAGAAGACAAGAAAAAUGCAGAGUACUGCUUGCUUGCUACUGCUUUUCCGUCUGCCUCCGCUUGCUUCCGUGAAUUAAAUCGUUGGAAUUUGACGCGUAAUGUUGUUGAUAUGAAUGUUG